AGAGACAGGGGUUACAGGAAACAUGCAGCUGGAUUCACUUCUGCAAAGAGGGGACUGAAGGAGUCAGGCAGGCACCCUCUGAGCUGAACUGGGGUCACGAAGUAAUUACCUUCUUUAGAGGAAGGGUUCUGGCUUGAUCCUGCCCUCAGACUCUUCUGAUAAGGACUAGGAAGGUGCUCAUUGGUUUCUGCAGUGCUGUAGUCACUUAAAAAUGCAAAUGGCCAGGCAUACCAGAUCCUUUCCUCCAGCCAGUUCCAUGACAGCAAAUGGGACCUGUAAAUAAAGUCUGUCAGAGAUCUUUCUGUCAGCACCCAGAAAUUACUUUCUCCUGCUGUUCUCUAGUUUUCACUUCAAACCAGUGUCUUUUCUACAUGAGCUGCUGAUUUUGAUGCUGUUCCAUUUUACAUUUGUCAACUGUUUGUCAACUGAGCAGUCAAAGUUUCUGUCCUGCAGAUCAAGUCACCCCCCUGAGUAUUUCACAGGUAAACUCUCCCUUGCUGUGGUUUGAGAGAUUGAGAUCUCUUCGAGUGAGAUUAAGAUCAGCAAAAAAGGAAAUUUAGUCCUUUGCUCCUUAAAGACACAGUAAUGGCAGCAGUAUCCUUGUGAGUUCUUCCAGGAAGAAAUGGCCAGGAAGGCAUGCACAGAGAUACAAAUGCACCUGGGACAAGCGCCUCCCACAUCAACAUCCAAGGGACUCCUGGUAGGGGCAGCUGCUAUUCAGCAGAGCAGAGAUUUUCAGCCAGGUCUUAACAGCAGAUCUUACUGAAGCCCAUGGGUGCCCUCUUCUCCUUCUAGUCAGAGGAAUUGAGAAAACAUCUGACUGCUCCUUUUACAGUGAUAACUGAAAAAGCAAGGUCUCCUAGACCAACUGAUGAUGGGCUUGUUGUUACACUGAAAAAGAAACAACAAAAAAACCCUAAAAGAAUCACACCAGAGGCAGAUGUAAAAUAUCAUCUCAGCUAGCAAGACUUAAAUACCCAGCGUGAAACGAGUCAGGAAAAGUCACUGCUCAGCAGAGCUGGGAGGCUUCACAGACUGGAUAGCCACAGUGAGCUAAGCCAACACGUCUUGUUCUGAGCGGGCCACCACAGCUUGCUAACCCAAAAGGGAUUUGCUGCUUUCUUUUAAGAGGAGAGAUCCUGGAGACUUCAUCUAACUCCAGCUGAGCAGCAGCAAAACCCUGGAAAGGAAAAUGCCAAGAGCUUGGGAUGCUCUCACCUACCUGAAGAGGUACUGUGAUGCUCUUUCUCUCUAAGGAACAAGUAAAUAAAAGAACAAGCCUGAUUUUCAUCGGUGGCUUAAAAGUUGUUGUUUUGCACUUGGGUUGGAGCACAGAGUUUUGUUUAUCUGGAAGCCUUCCACUCCAUACUAGUGCUCAGUAUCCUCUUCAUCCUCACCUUCCUAAGCAC